rnacentral:rRNA from 1 species
AAGAACUUUGAAGAGAGAGUUCAAGAGUACGUGAAACCGUUCAGGGGUAAACCUGAGAAACCCGAAAGGUCGAUGGGGGAGAUUCAACCGCGUCGCGGUUGUCCGGCGUCCGUGGGGCGCGCGACGGGCGGUCUUCGCGAUCGUCCGCCCGCCUCUCGGCGCACGGCUCCGUACGCGUGCACUUCUCCCCUCGUAGGACGUCGCGACCCGUUGGGCGUCGGUCUAAGGCCCCCGGCGGAGCCCGCGCGUGCGGUUCGCGCCGCACGUUCGGACCCGGGGAGUCCCGGUCGGCUCGCCCGACGGUAUCGGUGGACGGGAGGUCGCGACCAUUAGAGUACGCGCCCGGUCCGUCGCAAGCGGUCGCGGUUCUUCGAAGUUCGGACCCGGUCCGGACCAGAGGCCGCGUCGCUGUUGGCGACGGACGCCUCGGGCAGACCUCUGUCCCGCGCGCCUCGCGCGCGCGGGACGUGCCCUCCACGGAGGCACGAUCGUCUGUCCGCGACGCUAUAGCUUUGGGUAAUUUCAGGA